AUCUACCAUUGUUGGUACUUAUUUGCAAACAUCUUGGUCAUUGUCGUGAUUAUGUAUCGGCUUUGCAAUGAACUAGGAAGAAUUGUUUGAUCGGUUCUUGCUCAAGGUACUGUCGACAAGUUUUGGGCAAUAAAUAGAAGAAACUAUUGAAAAUCUGGUCCGAGAAGAUAGCUCUAGACAAGUAGCAAGGUCGCUACAGCUUUAGGAAAAAUCAUGAGUUCGAUCUGGGCUUCAGCUGAUGCUUCAGCCUUCAGGUACGGGCAGACCAGGAAUACAGAUCAAGUUCAAAAAAUGCAAUGUCAAUUGGAGGGGUCGUGACGGUUUUUAACUCUCCAUAUGUCUGCCAACAGAAUGGUCCACUCAAUUUGUUGCUUUCUGAUUGAAGUGCUUUGAGCUCUAUAGUGUUUAAGGUUACGCCUGUGCAUGGCA